CUUGACCCUAUAAGAGGUCCAGCCUGCCCAGUGACCUAGUUCAACGGCCGCGGUAUCCUAACCGUGCGAAGGUAGCGUAAUCACUUGUCUUCUAAAUAAAGACUAGUAUGAAAGGCACCACGAGAACUUAACUGUCUCCCCUUUCUAAUCAGUGAAACUAAUCCCCCCGUGAAGAAGCGGGGAUCCUCAAAUUAGACGAGAAGACCCUAUGGAGCUUAAAACACUAACCACUUGCCCGCACAUUAAUUACCCCGGUUUCUAAAUCAACGCAAUAUGAUUACGUGUUUUUGGUUGGGGUGACCGCGGAAAAUAACUAAACCUCCACAAUGACAACAUCCAAACUAUAAGCUACAGCUUUAAGUAUCAACAAAUUGACAUUCUUGACCCAAUAUAUUGAUUAAUGAAC
rnacentral:rRNA from 1 species